rnacentral:lncRNA from 1 species
CACGAAUGUCAUGACAUCCUUCAGGGAGUGGUCUAGGCUACAUUGUUCUCUGGGGGAAGAAUUUUGAAAACAAGAUCGAUUUCUACUUCAGUUAUCUGUUAUUGCAUAAUAAAGCCACAAAAAUCCAGUGACUUAGAGCUAGCUUGUUGGGUCCCUGCAGGGCUGCAUUCUCCUGGAGGAGGCCUUGCUCCAAGUCUGCUCGUGCUGGUGAAGCCCUGAACACUCUCUCCAAGUGACGCAGGGUGGAGGGUGUCAGGAUGCCGGGGCCCAGGAUCACACACCGUCAUCAAAAGACCAACAGGAACAAAGCAGCAGGAGGAAAAGCUCAUUUGGCUCACAGGUUUCAGUCCAGAAUCGGCCAACGCCAUCGCUCUGGGCCUGCAGUGAGGCCGGUGUCAUGGUGGAAGGGUGUGGACGAGCGGAGCUGCUCGAGACAUGACGGCCAGGAAGCAGAGAGCUCAGCUCACCAGGGACAAGAGAGAGACCCCAAAGUCGCGUCCAGGGACCCCCUCCUCCAGCCAUGCCCCACUGGCCUACAGUUACUACUCAGUUAACCCCUUCAAGUGGAUUGAUGCACUGACUAGGUUAAGGAUCUCGUGACCCCAUCACUCCACCGCUGAACAUCGUCUCACAGAGGAGGUUUGGGGGCACCUCUUCUAAACCACGACAAGUGAUAAACUACUUUCAAACCCUGCCUGCAAGUUUUGCUUCAUUUUAAGUAAAAAAUAUGGGCACUGUGGUCCAGCAACUCUGUUUUGAAUAUUUACCCACAAGAAAUGAAAAGAUACGUAAAGACAAUAAUUUGCACUUCUUAACCUUAUUUAUAAUAGUCAGAGACUGGAAAGAAUUCAGAAGAAUACCAAGGGGAAAUGGACAUCCGGGGCAUGUUCAUACUCAGGGAACCAUUCAGUCGAAGUGAAGAAACGGCUGUGAGACCUGCAAAGCCCUGGAUAGAGCUCAAGAGUAUGUUGAGCCAACACAACUCGCCAGAAAGUGUGUGUGCUCUGCACUGACAGGAAAUCUAGGCCGGGACUGUCAGGCUGCAGCUCAGGAGGCAGGCAAGGCCCCAAGAGGUGGAAAUGAGGGGUUUCAGGUAUAUUGGAGAGAUUCUGUGUUUUGUUGGAGAUGCUGGUUUUCCCCUUACCUAAUUCUCCACCUAAGACUGAUGCCUUUCAGAGUGAAUGAAUGCGGCUUCAACUGAGACCCUGUGAGCUGGGCACCCUGACCCUGGGCUUGGCGUCCUGAUCUCAAGUCUCCCCAGCUCAUAGCGCCCCCCGCUGGCUCCUCAGGGAGACCAAUGCUGUGUGAGGGUCCAGGUGACAGGGUCCAGUGGGGCACAAGUUCUCCCUCUCAAGGUGUCUGCUGCACCUUUCCAGAGCCAGACGGUCGGUCUCCACCGGCAACAGCAAUCCACAGUGCAGGGGUGUAUUCUACUGCCUGUGGAGCAGAGGGCCCGGCUUUCGAAUUGGGAGAGCCUACCUCCUGCACUAGCUGGUUGAUGUUGCAGAAGACACGUCGACACUCCAAGGUAGGAUGGAGCACGGCCUUACAGCUCUGUUAGGCACGGAGCACAACUUGCACAGCACAGCUCUGGUCCCCAGCGUCUGAAGGGCUGAGGAUCCUACAGGACAGUUUGCCAGUCCCAGACAGUAGAUGAUGUAGUAGCAGCAUUUACCAGGAGCAACAGGAGACCUGCAAAGCCAGGAGGAUGUCCCUUUGGCCACGACUCUGCAGGCUGAACAAAAGCAGAGCCAGCUGCUGAUGCAGAACCCACCAGUCCUGUUCAGUUCUCCUCUGCUUCUCAGAAUCUCCUGCUGAGGCAGGCCUCCCGGCUCUCCCAGGCUCUGCCACACACUUCCCAGUGCAUCUGGUGCUUCUGCUCAGCAUGUCUCCAGAGCGAUGGCACAGCUAAGUUUAUCAAACACACUGUUCCCAAUUGCUUGGAAUUCGUACUGCAGCAAAUUCUAACACUCACGGAGAAAGAAAGCCACGGAUUCCAAGUGAUUUUUUUAUUUUUUGGAAGAUGUUUAAAACAACAUUAGCAGAAACAAUGAUAUUAGCAACACAUGAGAAAGCAAAUUGAAGUGCUCACAGAAGACAAUGGGGUGAUUAGCCUCUCUCUGGGUGUCAGUGUGCUGGCGAAGGAACAGAGAAUGCAGCCAGAUGGACUCACUGAGAGCAAAACUGUAGGCUCAUCCAGCAAGAGUGCAGAGCCAGCACCACACAGACCUGUGCUGGGGCUCAGCCGGCUCUGUGGUGUUCAUCUGACAGCCCUCUAUGCCAAGUCCAGCCGUGUGGAUGGAGCACACGGGCACCAUUGCUGUGGGGAGGCCUGAUUCCACCGUAGGCUCCUGACUCGGCCUCCCACUGUCCCAGCUCUGCACUCCACAGGGCUCAGAGAUCUCGAUCCACUCCCUUCUCACACCUGCCAGAUUAUCUAGGUAGUCAGGAGGGAGAGAAACAAGAGGGAAGAGCUGAGAAAUAAAACCUAGGCUCACAUUAUUGAACAUAAUCUACUGAGAAGAUUUUCUCAGAAAAACAACAAUGAAAAUUUUUAUCCAUAGAAAAUAUCCAGAAAUGCAGUCAGAAUUUUCAGAUUUACAAUUUCUCCAUUUAGGGGAUGGUGUGUAGUCCUGCUCUUUCUUACUCCCCUCUCUGGGCCAUACCCUACCUUGGAGCCUCAAGACUGUGUACCUGGACUCCAGCUCGUCCACCCACCAACCUUGGGCACAACCACACCGGCACAUUGCCCAGAAUCCACUGCCCACACAUGCAGGGUCAAGGCCUGGGGUCUCACAGAGUGCCUGUCUCCUUCAGGACCCACCCUUCACUUUUCUCUCUGGUGCUGCUGACUCUUCACUCUCCCACCACCACUUCACUGUCACCAACGUUUGCUUCCCCAGCACAUGGGAAGGUUCUGGCAACCAGGAACCAAGAUUUGUUAUGAUCUUCUGAAGGCCUGGCAUAGUGUUUUCUGUAUCUUACUUGAGGAGUUAAAAAAAAAAAAUCUUAACUAUUAAUUACUACUUUGCAAACAAAGGAACAUUGUUUACCUCUUAGAUUUUCUGACUAUGCAUCUAUAAAAAUGGGAGUAUCAAUACCAACUCAGAUGACCUGCGGUGAGGACCGACUGUGACCAUAUGUGCCAAAUAUUUAGGGGGCACUUGACCCAGUGUGCUCAGAAAGUGGCAUUCUGCAGCAGGCCUGCCCUGAGUGGUGAGGUGCAAUGAGGACCUCUCCAGGUAGGCUGCACAGACCAUGCCUUCCCCCUGGCCUGUGGUUCAUGCACAGCGGCCCUCUGUGACAGCUUCUGGAUGCUGGGACAGCUCCCACCAGCAGAGGACAGUUCUACAGAGAUUCACUUUUCUCUUGCACAACUUGCAAGAGUCUAGGAUUACCCGAUGGCCCCUCUGGGAUUUACUGGGACAAUGAACUUUCCCAGAGACAUCAAAUAGCAUCUGGAUAAUUUUAGGAAAAUGUUUGAUGGGAAAAUUUGGGUUUGUUCUCGUGAAAAGCAUGUUGGGCUUCCGGGUUCUCAGAAUCGCCAUAGAAUGCCCUUCUUUUCUCCAGCUGUAUUACCCAGGGCCUGGAUGCCUUGCCAGUGUAGAUCAAUUUAUCAUGGAUGUGGACUGUGGUACAUGAAGUCCACUGUGGACGUGGACCCUGGCACACAGAGCCAAUCAUUCUGCGUCCAACUUUACUAAAGCGUGUUCAAGUCACCUACUCAGGCCUCUGGUUGUGGGAUUAUGUAGAGUGGAUUGGAGGUCCUUUUACACACUGCCUUUUGUUUUUUGUGUACACAGACAGAAAUCCCAUUCAUUUAUUGAUCUUGCCCUCAGGUCUGGCACAGCACUGGCCCCGGGUGGGUGGCCCUUGAGUGGUUGCGUUUCCGUCAUUUGAUGCAGGUCCUGCUUCCCUCCUUCACCGCUCGCCCCAUGAACUGGAGCUCAUCAAACAGUCUCCAUGGAACAACCUUGCUUCUGCUUCACCGUGGAGACCCUGGAC